rnacentral:lncRNA from 1 species
GAAUUUUAGUUUUAGUUCUCACACUAAUGACAUCAAGUUUGUUCACACUUCUCUGUACCAUUGCCUUUGGGUAGUCCUCUUGUCCACUGACAAUAGACUUGACCAUGUCACUUUCUUUGAUCAGUGAGACAAGCAAAGAAUUGAAACGUGAUGGACCAUUGGAACUUUUCUUCUUUUGCUGAUUUUGGAAACCUGCUGGAUAACAAAGACUGGCCCAGUUUACCCCUUCACCUCAGCUGACAGCCAGCCAGCCCUCGGAGCUGUGACACCUACUUGACUGCAUCUGCUUGAUUGGGGAUCUUUUUAUCUUCAUGUAAAGAAGCCCUGGCUAGCCUAAUGUAGGAACCACCUGCAGCAGAAACAAGCCAUCCCAACGGAGGAGCCCUAAUGCCAAACAAGAAAGUUGCAACCAUCCUAAACUCUUCAGCCCCAAGCAAAUCACCAGCCCCAGUCACAUCACCAGCUGAUGGUAGAAAUCCAACAUGCUAACCCGAACCAGAGGAAUAACCCAGCAGCUGACCCAAGACUGGCAAACUAAUAAAAUGGUGGCUAUUAUAA